AACGCACAUUGCGCCCCUUGGUAUUCCAUGGGGCAUGCCUGUUCGAGCGUCAUUUGUACCCUCAAGCUCUGCUUGAUGUUGGGUGUUUGUCCACUGUCGUGGACUCGCCUUAAAGUCAUUGGCAGCCAGUGUUUUGGUAUCGAAGCGCAGCACAUUUUGCGCCUCUAGCCUAGAGCACUCGCGUCCAGUAAGCCUUUUUCCACUUUCGACCUCGGAUCAGGUAGGGAUACCCGCUGAACUUAA
rnacentral:misc_RNA from 1 species